rnacentral:lncRNA from 1 species
AUGGUACUCAAGAUGCUUCUUUUUUUUGCCUCUCAUUAUUAUUUUUGUUGGAGAAGAAGUUACAUUUGUUACGCACUAAAAGGCACCUGGUAGCAUAUCAUGUCAUCAGAUAAUCUUCUGGACUGUGUUCCUACUUCCUACUGCUUCACUGAUUUCUUGUGGUUGCUAGAAAAAUGAGAUUUGUCAAACAGAAGCUUCCUUCCGCCUGCCACUGACAUGCCACCGACGAUGUGUGAAUAUUACGUGAGCAGCUACAACCUUUUUUUAUGGAUGAGACGAUGAGCAGCUACAAACUUGAUACUGUUAAUGGUAGUCUCAUUCUUCCAAAAAAAAUAGAAAAACAAACUCAUACAUUUCAACACAGCUCCUUCUUCACAUAAACUUCCAGUUUAAAUGAAAAUACUAUUAUUUUCGAUGAAGGGAGCUUUAUUACUUAAAAGGUUUAAGCAUUAUACCCGGCCCCUCUGCAUAAAUGAAAAUACUAAUAGCAACAAAAAAAACUUAAUAAGAAAACUCCGACAAUGUGGACCGAGAUUGACUUGGUAGUAGAUCAAAUCACACGUGUUCAAUCUUUGCUCAAUGAGAACUGAGGAACAACUUUGUAAAAAAAACUACCCUACUCCAUACUGAUCAUUGCAUGACAUCAAUAUUUCUCUUACAGAACUAAACUUAGACAGCCAUGUAAGCUGUAAACAUUGUUCUUGAUUAAACGGACAAAACAUAAAGGAAUUAGAAGUCUCACCAUCAGUAUAUAAUGUUUCCACGCAAUAUUUUUGUCCGAACAACCACAAUCAAUAUCCAUUACAUCCACACUCGCCUCAAGAGGGAGAGUAGACCCGCCUGCACAAUAGAGACUAUAGAACAUUCACAUGAAGUGCUAAAAAAUGUAAUACCAAAAUUUAAUCUAAUGAGGAAGCAGAGCCCGCUGCCGCAUCCAUGGAUGGCCACCAGAGGAGUCUCCAGCGCCGUGCGACGUCGACCUGCCGCAAGGGCCCGAACGGGCAACGGCACACGCAUCCACCCGCUG